GCUGCUGCUGCUGCUAAGUCACUUCAGUCGUGUCCGACUCUGUGUGACCCCAUAGAUGGAAGCCCACCAGGCUCCCCCCUCUUAGCUACCAGGGAAUAAAGUCAUACUUGUAUCCUAUCGAAAAGUCCUAGCUUCAUCAACGCCAUCUUUUAUGAAAGUACUUAUGUCCCUGUUACCUUAUGUUCUAGGUGUCUGCUGGAUCUGCUGCCUAGGGCCAUUUGGAAUGGCUGUGAACAUCUCUAUGAAACCCCAGGUCUUCGGUCAUAAAGAUGAAAUUAUUUGGAGAAGCUUCCUUGAAUCAUUGUCAUAGAGUGGAGUAGACCGUUCUUAGCUUCUGCAUCGAAUAUUCUGCCAGAGGGAAAAAUGUGCUAAGAUGGAAAAGCAACCAAGUAGAUUUUCAUGGAGACAUUUUUAAAAGCAUCUUCUUAGAAGGACGAUGUAAUGGCCGCCUGCUCUGCGUCGGCGUUGUUGUAAAGGAUCACUGUUGCUGGAAGGUGCUGGACGGUCCUGGCCUCUUUGGAGCCCUGCAGCGGCGGGAAUCCGGUCCGAGGAUUAAGGCAGCGCAGCGGUCUUGCGAUGGGCGGUCAGGACCACCGCCGGGCUGGCUGUUGACCUUGGACUCUGUCUAUGCCCCAUCCGGAGUGGGUCCUCAGGAAGCCCUUUGCCUCUCCUGGCUCUCGGUCCUUGGAAGCCCCUCUCUCUCCCCGAGGGCACCCCCCACUCCCCUGUCUGGUCUGCUCAGAGUCUCC
rnacentral:lncRNA from 1 species